rnacentral:rRNA from 1 species
GAUGAACGCUGGCGGCGUGCCUAAUACAUUCAAGUCGAGCUAUCAGACCAGGUGCUUUCUCCUCUGACGUUAGCGUCUGACGGGCUAGUAACACGUGGAUAACCUACCUUUUAGACUUUGAUAACUUCGGGAAACCGUAUCUAUUCCCGGUUAAUAUAUUGCACCGCAUGGUUCAAUAUUGUAAGACGUUUUUUCUGUCACUUAUUGAUGUAUCCGCGCCGAAUUAGCUAGUUGGUAAGGUAACGGCUUACCAAGGCAACGAUUCAUAGCCGACCUGAGAGGGUGAUCAGCAACACUGGAAAAGAGACACGGACCAGACUCCUAAGGGAGGCAGCAGUAGGGAAACUUCCGCAAUGGGCGAAAGACGGACGGAGCAACGACGCGUGAGUGAUGAAGGUAUUCGGAUCGGAAAACUCUGUUAUUAGGGAAGAAGAAAUGAGAAAGAAACAAUGCACGUCUUGACGGUAAAUAAUCAGAAAGACACGGCUAACUACGUG